CCUACGGGAGGCUGCAGUGGGGAAUAUUGCACAAUGGGGGAAACCCUGAUGCAGCGACGCCGCGUGCGUGAAGAAGUAUUUCGGUACGUAAAGCUCUAUCAGCAGGGAAGAAAAUGACGGUACCUGACUAAGAAGCCCCGGCUAACUACGUGCCAGCAGCCGCGGUAAUACGUAGGGGGCCAGCGUUAUCCGGAUUUACUGGGUGUAAAGGGAGCGUAGACGGCAGCGCAAGUCUGGAGUGAAAUCCCAUGGCUUAACCAUGGAACUGCUUUGGAAACUGGGCAGCUAGAGUGCAGGAGAGGUAAGCGGAAUUCCUGGUGUAGCGGUGAAAUGCGUAGAUAUUAGGAAGAACACCAGUGGCGAAGGCGGCUUACUGGACUGUAACUGACGUUGAGGCUCGAAAGCGUGGGGAGCAAACAGGAUUAGAUACCCUUGUAGUC
rnacentral:rRNA from 1 species